rnacentral:rRNA from 1 species
UACGAAGGGGGCUAGCGUUGCUCGGAAUCACUGGGCGUAAAGCGCACGUAGGCGGAUUGCUAAGUCAGGGGUGAAAUCCUGGAGCUCAACUCCAGAACUGCCUUUGAUACUGGCGACCUUGAGUCCGGGAGAGGUGAGUGGAACUGCGAGUGUAGAGGUGAAAUUCGUAGAUAUUCGCAAGAACACCAGUGGCGAAGGCGGCUCACUGGCCCGGUACUGACGCUGAGGCACGAAAGCUAGGGGAGCAAACGGG